rnacentral:misc_RNA from 1 species
GAUGAAGAACGCAGCGAAACGCGAUACGUAAUGUGAAUUGCAGAAUUCAGUGAAUCAUCGAAUCUUUGAACGCACCUUGCGCCCCUCGGCAUUCCGAGGGGCAUGCCUGUUUGAGUGUCACGGAUCCUUCGAACCCCGCCGGUCUCCGACGAGCCGGCCGCCUGGGUUCGGUCCUGGGCGCUACGCCACCCCUCCGGGGCUGGCCCGCCUCAUAAGCAUCAGCUGGGCCUCGCGGCGUGGGCGGGCUCCGAUCGGCGUGAUAAGUCAUCUGCCGAGAGGGUGCCCGUCCGUCCCGCGGAUCGCGGUCCGCUCCCAACCCCUCCCCGCGCGCCGUCCCCCCCCGGGGAGCGCGCGGGGACGUUUCGACGCUCUGGCCUCAAAUCAGGUAGGACCACCCGCUGAACUUAAGCAUAUCAAUAAGCGGAGGA